GUGGCCUUCAUUUAUUUCCAUAGAAUUUGUAUAAUUAAUAAAAACAAGUGAUUCUUAUCAUCAGGCAAGGCUGGAAAACACCCCUGCUACUCAAACUGUGGUCCCCACGGCAGCAGCAGCACCUGGGAGCUUGUUAGAGAUGGAGAUUCGCAGGCUCCGCCCCAGACCUGCUGAUUCAGAAGCUGCGCCUUAAACAGGAUCCUGGAGGUGACCCUCCAGCACGUUGCAGUGUGAACAGCAUUGACCAGGAGCAUUGAUCCAGGUCAGUGGGUCUCAGCCCUGGGUGCACAUUAGGAUUCUCUGGGGGCUGUUUGAAGUAGCAAAGCCUGUCCUCCAUACUCAGAGCAUCUGCUAUAAUUGGCCCUGGCUGGGGCUCGCGUGUCAGUGGUCUUAAACGCUCUCCAGUUGAUGCUCACAUGCAGCCAGUGUGAAGACCCACUGAGCUAGGACAACGGUUCUCACUUCGGUGUGUGUCACAUCCUCUGGAGAGCUCACCAUGGACACAGAGGGCCCGCUUGCCGAGGAGGAUAGUCCUAGGCUUGGUGAGAAUAACCAAGUUCCCAGGCAGUUGUGAAACUGGCCAAAGCAGGAGCAGCUCUGGUCUCAAGGAACGGCUGUGAGGGGUCCCCGCAGCCUCCCAGGCAGCUCUCCCUUCUCCCUCAUUCUUCUUCUUCCUCAAUGCUGCUUGGCCAGCACCACGGCUCCUAAAGCACAAGGAACGAGAGAUUCUCAGAACUGGAAGGAACAGAGGCAUCUUUGAGCACGAUUGUGAGCUCUCUGCUGUCAGGAACCAGCCCUGUCUCUUUUAUUCUGCACCCCAGCGCCUAGCCCUGACACUGAGUGGGCACUCUUGUGAGUGGACGGAUGGAUGGAUAGUCAUCUGAAUCACAGAGGUGGAAAAUUUCACUUCCCCAACUUCGCCUUGAUCAAACUAUGGAGUUGUGGUUGGUCAACUUUAGAAGGAUUCAUGGAGCUGACCAGCCAGCUAAGGAUAUUCCAGAGAUGCCCUCCGCUAAAAAAAUAAAUGUUGUAGACACAUCUGAAGCCCUGAGAAGUGAGGACCCCCAUCAGAUGCUUGGAGGGAGCCAGAACUGGAGCCUUUCCUCCUCUGUAGUCACCCCAACUGAGAGGAGAGAGUCUAAAAACGGGGCUUUGGGCACCAUAGGGAAUUUUCAGUGUAUGGGAAACAUCUGCUGACUUAGGACUUGGUGUAUGGGUCUUUUUGUGAGCACUUUUUACAUAAUCUUGCAUAAAGAGAACUCUCGAGGCCAAGCCUACCCCAUAGAGUACAUAUUCCCAAGGGGAUAGUCCUGAAGGGACCGCUGUCUGUGCGGCACUGAGGGAAGAUUGCAGUGCAUGUGGGCAUUGUGUCCAAAUGCUUCUCCAAGGACCCACUGCAGGAAGAAACGUUUUUUGCCGCUAAGAAUCCAGGCUCUCAGGGGCAUCAGCCUUGCCCAGACUGUUCUCCCAGCUGUGCCUCCCCUGUAGGCACAGGGAGACUGCAGACAGAGACUUUAUCAAAAAUAAAACCCACUUUGACUACCUCAGCAGACCAUGUCUCAAGAAUGGUUAGUCAGGCAGUUCCCAGCCUGGAAUCAGUCUGGCCACAAAAGCUUCUUCUGUUCCACAUGGUCAUUAGCAGCCCUGAAAUCAACAGAGAGCCCAGGCCAGCCCUAAGAAAUGGGAGAAUAGUCAUAGCC
rnacentral:lncRNA from 1 species